rnacentral:rRNA from 1 species
UACAGAGGGUGCGAGCGUUAAUCGGAAUUACUGGGCGUAAAGCGCGCGUAGGCGGCUUUGCAAGUCGGGUGUGAAAUCCCCAGGCUUAACCUGGGAACUGCAUCCGAGACUGCAUUGCUAGAGUAUGGGAGAGGGAAGUGGAAUUUCCGGUGUAGCGGUGAAAUGCGUAGAUAUCGGAAGGAACAUCAGUGGCGAAGGCAGCUCGCUGGGACGGUACUGACGCUGAGACGCGAAAGCGUGGGGAGCAAACAGG